GGAAUAUAUACUUCUAAAAUCUCCUGAGGAUUGACCUCUGAAAGAAACACACUGAGACAAAUCUUUCAAGGUCUCCUUUCAGGAAAAGAGGUCAUUCCACCUUCAUCUAUAAGAUGACAUUCUAGCUCAAUCAGCUGCAGCACUACUUAUUUAAGACAAGAGAAGAAGGUGAAAGGAGAACAAGGCAAUUACAAGGACAUAAAUACCACAUUUCUAUCUGUGGAGGAAGUGCUGCAUAAGGUGAGCCACGUUCUUUAUAAGAGAAGUUCAUUUUUCCCCCAAAUGAUAUGUCAUUCUUAGAAUUCUAUUGUGAGCCCAGAUGAUAACUCAUAAUCUCCCUG
rnacentral:lncRNA from 1 species